AUAGCAAAGUUUCUGGCACAAAUCUGGCUUACAUUGGGCAUUUAUGGCUAAAUUUAGGCUCUCUUUUGUUCACACCUUUGUGUGAAACAGCUUUCGGGGGAGUUGUGGGGUGAGGCUAGCCAGCCAAAAGCAAAAGGUACAUUUUUGGCUGAGUCCUGGCUUAAGUGUGGUCUGCCAGAAAAUAGUCAAUAUAUGGCAGAGUUCUGGCUAAGGUUUGGUUGGCCAAAGAGUAAAAAAACACCAAAUAAAAUCAUUUACAAUUGAUAAAAACAUCAAAGUUAAUAUUUAAGGCAAUAAUAAAUAUGUUUAUCCUUAUUAAAAGACGAAAUGUAGAAAAUGUUAUUUUGGGCAGUUAAUCCAAAGGUGUCAAUGUGCAAUAUACAAACAAUGCAAUAAACAGAUAAAUUAAUAAUUCAGUCUGCACUAAUAUACAUCAAACAAAAGUAUUUUAAGUAUGUGUGCUUGUUUAAGUCUUUUUAGUUUUGUAUUUUAUUUUUUAUAAAUAAAUAAGACUUUACAUUAAAUUGUGUUUACAAUUAAAAAAUACGACUAACUAAUACUAAUAUUUAUUGGUGCACUUUCGUUUCUAAAACAAUGACAUAUAUUGCAAUGCACCUUGGAAAUAGUAGUCAUUUAACCUCAACAGCGUUCAAUCCGCCGUGGAAAAUGGACUACCUUUCCCAUAAUGCAACUGGUCAUGAUCAGGAACUUCCGCGAAAUUCAAACCCCCACUGUGUACUGGACGAAGGACACGCGAUCUUUUGUCUUGUGGAGUUUUAUAUAACACAGUAAGUAAGAGACGCAACAUGCAUGACGGGGAUGAUAAAAUAAUCAAUAAGAAGUUUGAAUCUUUAAAUGAAUGCUGAACCCCAAAGAAGCCAAACGAAGAUUAGAUGUUUUCUGUACUAAACCACAAAUCAGCAUUUGCUGGUAAUCAUAACAGUUACAAAGUGACUCAUUCAUUCCAACUAUUUAUAUCUUAGUAAAACAAUGUUUUUGAUAUUCUAGAAAGGCAUGUAUUCAAGUUUUAGCUUAAUAAAGAUGGUUUACUAUGAUCUCUUAUUCUCUUCAGUCCUGGUCAGUGCAGUUUACAAGAUUGUGUUGUUAAAAGGCCAGAUUUAUUUGCUUUAUUUUAUGGUGUAACAUAACCAACCCCACUUGAAGAAUAACCACAUGCUUUUGUAAAGAAUUUAAUAUGCAAGCAUUUUGUAUGUGUUUGUUUUAAUCUUUUAUUUUACAGUAUAAAGUUUAAUUAUAUUUGCAUUUUGUUUGCAGAAGUCAUGUACCACACUUUGUCAACAAUAAAUGUUGUUUCUGCAAUCUGGAUAAAGAAUAAUAUAUUACUGCCUCUUGGAGAACAGCCGGCCGUACUCCAGACAGAGACAAAGACGUGAGGACAUCUAUUGCUUUUAAGUCAUGUACCACACUUUGUCAACAAUGCAUGUUGUUCCUGCAAUCUGGAUGAAGAAUAAUAUAUUACUGCCUCUUGGGAAAACAGCAGACUGUACUCCAGACAGAGACAAAGACAUGAGGACAUCCAUUGCUUUUAAGUCCUAUACCAGACUAUGUUGUUCCAGCUGUCUGGGUAAAGACUGAUACAUUACUGCCUCUUGGAGAACAGCAAACCAUUCUCCAGACAGAGACAAAGACAUGGACAUCAAAACAGAAAAUUAAGUACUUGAUCUUGGAUUGUUUGGAGUGAAUGCUGGAAAAUAAUGAAGCAGGAAAUUGACUAAAACAAUUUUUGUACUUGGCUGUAAGAAGUCCUUUGUGUGCACAGACAUGACUGGAGAUUAAAGUUACUAAAUGUUGCUUUUUUUCUAGCUGGUGACAUAACAUGGUAUUAUUUUCAAAUGUAUUUAUCUAAUACACAUUUGCACAUCUGUAAACAUUCAUUUUAUAUAGGAUGUUUUUUAUAUUUAACCAGUUGUUGUAUAUUGCUUUCUGUUAUUACAUCUGUUUUUUUGCCUGUUUAUUGUUUAAAACAAUUAAGUUAAUGUUUCUCUGUUAGCUUUUAUGUUACUUUGGCUAUUUCUUUGCUUUUAUUUGAUCCUUCUACUGUUAUUUGUUUAUUUGGCAGAACAUUUGACAUUUCAUUUAUUUUGCUGUUAUCUGAAAUUAUCCUUGUCACCAUCAAUAAAACUCUAUAUUUGCUUUA